rnacentral:rRNA from 1 species
AGCGAACGCUGGCGGCAGGCCUAACACAUGCAAGUCGAACGAAGUCUUCGGACUUAGUGGCGGACGGGUGAGUAACACGUGGGAACGUGCCUUUAGGUUCGGAAUAACUCAGGGAAACUUGUGCUAAUACCGAAUGUGCCCUUCGGGGGGAAGAUUUAUCGCCUUUAGAGCGGCCCGCGUCUGAUUAGCUAGUUGGUGAGGUAAAGGCUCACAAAAGCUACGAUCAGUAGCUGGUCUGAGAGGAUGACCAGCCACAUUGGGACUGAGACACGGCCCAAACUCCUACGGGAGGCAGCAGUGGGGAAUCUUGCGCAAUGGGCGAAAGCCUGACGCAGCCAUGCCGCGUGGAUGAUGAAGGUCUUAGGAUUGUAAAAUCCUUUCACCGGUGAAGAUAAUGACUGUAGCCGGAGAAGAAGCCCCGGCUAACUUCGUGCCAGCCGCCGCGGUAAAAC